UGGUCUUUGUACGUAGGUCAUAGUCCUUGUACGUAGGUUCGUAGGUCGUGGUCUUUGAACGUAGGUUGUCACUGUACGUAGGUCGUGGUCCUUAUACGUAGGUUCGUAGGUCGCGGUUCUUGUACGUAGGUCGUGGUCUUUGAAUGUAGGCUGUGGUCUUUGAAUGUAGGCUGUGGUCUUUGAACGUAGGUCGUGGUCCUUGUACGUAGAUUG